CCUUGUACACACCGCCCGUCACACCACGAGAGUUUGUAACACCCGAAGUCGGUGAGGCAACCUUUUGGAGCCAGCCGCCUAAGGUGGGACAGAUGAUUGGGGUG
rnacentral:rRNA from 1 species